UGGGGAAUAUUGCACAAUGGACGGAAGUUUGAUGCAGCGACGCCGCGUGGAGGGUGUAGGCCUUCGGGUUGUGAACUCCUUUUUCUCGCGAAAAAGGCACAGCUUUGGCUGUGUUGAUGGUAGUGGGGGAAGAAGCGCCGGCUAACUACGUGCCAGCAGCCGCGGUAAUACGUAGGGCGCGAGCGUUGUCCGGAUUUAUUGGGCGUAAAGAGCUCGUAGGUGGUUCGUCGCGUCUGUCGUGAAAGCCAGCAGCUUAACUGUUGGUCUGCGGUGGGUACGGGCGGGCUUGAGUGCGGUAGGGGGGACUGGAGUUCCUGGUGUAGCGGUGGAAUGCGCAGAUAUCAGGAGGAACACCGAUGGCGAGGGCAGGUCACUGGGCCGUUACUGACACUGAGGGGCGAAAGCGUGGGGAGCGAACAGG
rnacentral:rRNA from 1 species